rnacentral:tRNA from 1 species
UUGAAAGUAGUUUAAUUAAUAACAUUGGCUUUGGGAGUCAAAGAUGCUGUAGUUCAGUCUUUCAGU